rnacentral:rRNA from 1 species
GCAGUCGAACGGUGAACACGGAGCUUGCUCUGUGGGAUCAGUGGCGAACGGGUGAGUAACACGUGAGCAACCUGCCCCUGACUCUGGGAUAAGCGCUGGAAACGGCGUCUAAUACUGGAUACGAGUAGCGACCGCAUGGUCAGUUACUGGAAAGAUUUAUUGGUUGGGGAUGGGCUCGCGGCCUAUCAGCUUGUUGGUGAGGUAAUGGCUCACCAAGGCGUCGACGGGUAGCCGGCCUGAGAGGGUGACCGGCCACACUGGGACUGAGACACGGCCCAGACUCCUACGGGAGGCAGCAGUGGGGAAUAUUGCACAAUGGGCGCAAGCCUGAUGCAGCAACGCCGCGUGAGGGAUGACGGCCUUCGGGUUGUAAACCUCUUUUAGCAGGGAAGAAGCGAAAGUGACGGUACCUGCAGAAAAAGCGCCGGCUAACUACGUGCCAGCAGCCGCGGUAAUACGUAGGGCGCAAGCGUUAUCCGGAAUUAUUGGGCGUAAAGAGCUCGUAGGCGGUUUGUCGCGUCUGCUGUGAAAUCCGGAGGCUCAACCUCCGGCCUGCAGUGGGUACGGGCAGACUAGAGUGCGGUAGGGGAGAUUGGAAUUCCUGGUGUAGCGGUGGAAUGCGCAGAUAUCAGGAGGAACACCGAUGGCGAAGGCAGAUCUCUGGGCCGUAACUGACGCUGAGGAGCGAAAGGGUGGGGAGCAAACAGGCUUAGAUACCCUGGUAGUCCACCCCGUAAACGUUGGGAACUAGUUGUGGGGUCCAUUCCACGGAUUCCGUGACGCAGCUAACGCAUUAAGUUCCCCGCCUGGGGAGUACGGCCGCAGG